rnacentral:lncRNA from 1 species
CGUAGAUGAGACUCCAUCUGCCCGGAGCAGCUUUCCUGAGCCUUGGAGGAUAGCUUCGUCAUGGCUCCUAGACUUCCGUUUAUCCUUGCUGCCUAUCUGGUUGCAGCCUGCAGCCUGGCCAUCCUGCAGGCUGGGAAGCACAGCCCCUGGCAAAAACCAGACGCGAGCACUUCAGAGAAGGAAGGAUGAGACAGGAAUUGAAGCUGAACAGUUUCCAGAUGUGGCUGAAGGCAAACAGUAAUUGCCCGGUUUAAUGGAAGAUGGUUAAGCCUGUGUUGGACAUCUGCUGUCUUUGCCGCCCUAGUCUGCAUUUCCCAGUAUUCUGCCAGCAGAAACGUGAGUUGACUUUGGAGGCAUUCUGCGUUGCAUGGAUUAUUGCAUAUCCUCUGGGCUGGGCUCCCAGCUUUUCCUAUAGUCCCCUAUAGCAUGUUCUCAGGACAGCAGUUCUCAAUGCAGAGUGAUCCUUUUGAAGUAUGUCAGAUCAUGUGACUCCUCUGUUUCAAAGCCCCCAACACCUACCUGUCUCCCUUAAAGGCCAGUAUCUGUGCAACGGUUCAGAGUCUUGCACAUCUCUGUCCCUCCUCACUGUUCUGAAUUGACGCCCUAUCACUCUUCCCUCAUACAUUCUGCCCCUGCCAUGCUGACUUCACUGCUGUUUCUCAAUCUUCCCAGGCUCAUUCCCACCUCUGGGUCUUUGCUCUUCCUCUUUCCUUUGCCAGGAACCAUCUUAUUCCAGGAAUAUCACUGGCUUGCUGCCUCAUGUCCUUCACGUUUUGUAAGAAAUAGAUCUUCCGGAACCACCUUGUUUAAGAAAGUACUCUCCGGUGUCUAUUCCCUUGCUCUAUCUACUUUUUCUUCAGUAUCACUUAUCACUUGGCAUAUAUUUAUUUGCAUACUGUCUGCCUCUUCUUCAAAGACAUAAAUUCCAGCAAGGCGGGGAUGCAUUAGGUUUAUUCUUAUAGCCAGUGUCAUUGUUAUUUCUCCCUUUCUUUCUGUUAAUCUCAUCUCUGCCUGUCUUUCAGGUAUUCGGUGCUCACACAUCAAUCCCUGGCUUCCCAGCGUCCCUCAGCAAACAUCCCCUUCUCCUGAUGCAAAAUAACCUCUCUCCUAUUGUUAUUAUCCCACAUGGUUCUAUUACUCAAUGCAGAGUGGCAUUGAGCAAAUUCACUCCAAGGUAUGAGAGUACUUGCAGGUGAAACAUUUUUUGUUAUAUCCAGAUUCAUAUCUCAUUGGUGGAAUUUUAGGCAACCUGUCAAAAUUGUAUGUUUGUAGCGGAUGCUUAGGAAAUCAAGAGAUUUCAUAGAAAACUCCAAUUCUCAGUUCUCCUAAACAUUGGACAACCUGCCAAAGUUCCUCCUGGCAUCACUGCCUGGAGCUGACACUCAUCUGGCCCUUUGGAUAAGAAGUGGAUUCUCCCCACAGUCCCCAGCAGGCCCCUUCAACUCAUGUAUAUGUUCCUGUGUCCAUGUAUAUGGAAUGUGUCCCAGACUUGGUGCAGGUGAAUUUCAGAAAACUAUCCUUCCAAGAUUGUUGCCAUUGCUGUGAAGUGUUUCCACCUGCUCUGGGGCCAUGGAAGAGAAAACUUCCAAGUAUCUUUAUGUUAACUGAUUUUUCCAGUGGACCACAAUUCACAGAAAAACCUGCUUAUGGGCCAAGCCUGGAGAACAAUCAAUGGGACAAGGAGGAGAAAACUUACCUCUAUUUAAUCAGCUCCACGUUUCUGACAAAUGUGAAGAGCAACUGUGAAUACAGCUCGGCUGCUUAAUUCCAGACUGUUUUAUGUUGGAGCAUCACUCUUCUCUCCAAAACUUUGUCAAGAUCGUUUUACCAAGAGCACUUGCUGGAAAGCCUUUUUGGAGAAAAAGGCAAAUAACGUAUUCUGUGAGGCAGUAAAGCAGCCACUUAGAGACACAGUACUUUGAUUAUACUCUUUGAAAGACAGAGAGAAUUAGAUUUUAACAACUAUUCCAAAUCUCUCACCUAAGGGGUAGAAUUAUAAAAGAGCUCCGCAUCACCCUUGUUAUUACUACAUAUUUGGACAAGGGAA